rnacentral:scRNA from 1 species
UUCUAUGUAAUAGGGGGUGUGGGGUCAGACUC